rnacentral:rRNA from 1 species
UACGUAGGGUGCAAGCGUUGUCCGGAAUUAUUGGGCGUAAAGAGCUCGUAGGCGGUUUGUCGCGUCUGCCGUGAAAAACCCGAGGCUCAACCUCGGGCCUGCAGUGGGUACGGGCAGACUAGAGUGCGGUAGGGGAGAUUGGAAUUCCUGGUGUAGCGGUGGAAUGCGCAGAUAUCAGGAGGAACACCAAUGGCGAAGGCAGAUCUCUGGGCCGUAACUGACGCUGAGAAGCGAAAGCGUGGGGAGCGAACAGG